rnacentral:rRNA from 1 species
AUGCCACACGUUCGACCCGGCUCUUCCUCCAGCUUCAUCUCCUCACGCGCCAACCAGCUGUUAAGCAAAUUACACCAUCAUCUCGGCUCUGGGACACUACGGCCGGAGCUUGCGCAUCAAUUGUUCGACAAUUUGCUGGAACAACGCGUCCCAGUAUCUGCCUGCGCACUCAAUGGCUUAUUUGCCGCACUCGCGUGUGCCCCGCCAUCCGCCGCCUGCAUUGAUGGCCCUGCCCUCGCCAUCGCUCUCUUCAAACGCAUGGCACGAGCAGGAUGCCGCCAGGUGAUGGCACCCACCAAUCACACCUAUAGCAUACUAAUUGAGUGCUGCCAUAGCCUGCGCCGCUCAGACCUAGGGCCUACCUUCUUCGGCCUCCUUCUCAAGACAGGCAUCACCGCAAACGUCGUCACCUUCAACAGCUUAUUGAAGUGCCUCUGUGACAUGAAGCAAACAGAUGAGGCCCUAGGCGUGCUGCUCCACAGGAUGCCCGGUGACAUGCCUGAUGUCAUCUCCUACUCAGUAAUUAUCAAGAGCUUCUGUGACAACAGGAGGAGCCAACUUGCACUUGACCUGCUCCGGAUGGUGACCAAAAAGGGAUAUGACCACUCCCCCAAUGUGGUUUCAUACACAAUAAUCAUUGAUGGAUUAAUUAAGGAGGGUGAACUAAGCAAAGCAUGCGCUCUAUUCCAUGAAAUGAUGCAGCAGGGGGUCGUGCCUAAUGUGGUGACUUAUAACUCCAUUAUCGAUGGGUUGUGCAAAGGAAGAGCAUUGGAUGAGGCAGAGGUGGUCCUUCGACAAAUGGUUGAUAGCGGUGUUCGACCGGAUGUUGUGACAUACAAUAGCCUGAUCCAUGGAUAUUCCACUUCAGGCCAGUUUGAAGAGGUAGUUAGGUUAUUGGAAGAAAUGAGAGGUCAAGGUGUCAGACCAAAUGUUUUUACUUGCAACACAGUCAUGGCCUACCUUUGCAAGCAUGGAAGAACGAAAGAAGCUGCAGAACUUUUUUAUUCCAUGGCUGAGAAGGGCCAUAAACCUAAUAUGGUCUCAUACUCUAUUAUGCUUCAUGGGUACGCUAUAGAAGGAUCCCUUGCUGAAAUGACUGAUCUUUGUGAGCUGAUGGCAAGAGACGGUAUUGCACCCGAUCUCCAUUGUUUCAGCAUAUUGAUUAGUGCAUAUGCUAAGUGUGGAAUGAUGGAUGUGGCUAUACUUUUCUUCAAAGACAUGUUGAAGCAGGGAGUGAACCCUGAUGAGGUCACAUAUUUAGCUGUGAUAGCCGGGUAUUGCAGAGUGGGGAUGAUGGAUGAUGCUAUGGAAAAAUUCAAUGAGAUGAUUGAUAUGGGAGUACCACAUAACGCAACUGUUUACAGGUGCAUGAUUCAGGGU